UUUUAUAGUGAUUAAAGGAAUCUUUUCAUUUCGAUACAAUUUUGAUUACGGAAUUUAUUUUUUUUAACAAAAUUGGUCUCAAUACCGGCGGUAACCUCUACAAUAUCGUUAAACUUCCCUUUAGCAAGCUUCCUUGAGGAUUGUGGAUAGAAAAUGUCACUGGUGGCCAGAUCGCAGAUUACGGUGAAACCAAACCAGUACAGGAAGUGCGUUAGCCGCUAAAAUUGAUAGUUAAUGAAAUUUUUGAAAGGGCUGACAGACGGAUCAGCGUGAGAUGGAAUGGAUCAUGUGUAAGAACCACAAAGAAAAAAUCGAUUUUUUUUUUACUCAUACGGUCUCGAAAUAACGGCAGGACGGUUGUUGGCUUAAUGGCAGGUCAGAACUUACUGGCAGCACAUGCGAGACAAAUGGACAUUAGUAACGACAAUACAUGAAGAACGAGCAUGUCCGAUGACUCUGUCCAGCUUUAUAUAUCUAGGCGCUUUUCAAGGGGUAGCUGAAUUAUCAAAAUUAGAUAUAAAGUCGCUCUAAAAGUUUCCAUAAAAGCGUUAACGUCCUAUAUGAUGAAUACUUCCGCUCAAAUUAAACUGAACCUACAUCUGGCAUUACUAUGUUAUCCCAAGGUGGGGAGUUCCGUAAAUGCGUUACACCUCUUCACUUCUGUGGAAAAGGGGUUAAAACUGUGGAUAAAGUGUACGAGCAGGAUGUUUUAGAAGACGUGAUAAAGUAGUUAAACAAUAGUCUCUUCGAUGGAGAGCAUUGGAUCUUCAAACAAUGUUCUGCUCCAGCACAUAAGGCAGCAAUAUUCCUUGCUACAGAUUAUUGGACGUCUGGAAGUCCAGGUUUGCAUCCAUUCGACUACAGCUUGUGGUCAGAGUUGGAGAACAUGCCGUGUCGAACACCCCACCGAAAUUUGGAGAGUCUUAAAAAAACUUUGGUUUGAGCAGCGUCGUCAAUACCAAUAGAAACUAAGCGUGUUGCUAUUGAUUAAUGGCCGAACCAUUCGAGGUUUUGUAUGAAAGUAAAAAGUGAC